rnacentral:rRNA from 1 species
AUUGAACGCUGGCGGCAGGCCUAACACAUGCAAGUCGAGCGGAUGACGGGAGCUUGCUCCUUGAUUCAGCGGCGGACGGGUGAGUAAUGCCUAGGAAUCUGCCUGGUAGUGGGGGACAACGUUUCGAAAGGAACGCUAAUACCGCAUACGUCCUACGGGAGAAAGCAGGGGACCUUCGGGCCUUGCGCUAUCAGAUGAGCCUAGGUCGGAUUAGCUAGUUGGUGGGGUAAUGGCUCACCAAGGCGACGGUCCGUAACUGGUCUGAGAGGAUGAUAAGUCACACUGGAACUGAGACACGGUCCAGACUCCUACGGGAGGCAGCAGUGGGGAAUAUUGGACAAUGGGCGAAAGCCUGAUCCAGCCAUGCCGCGUGUGUGAAGAAGGUCUUCGGAUUGUAAAGCACUUUAAGUUGGGAGGAAGGGCAGUAAGUUAAUACCUUGCUGUUUUGACGUUACCGACAGAAUAAGCACCGGCUAACUCUGUGCCAGCCGCCGCAGUAAGAC